UCAUGUGCUUCCUUAGCUCCUUGUAAGUUCCAGCAAAUGAGCAGUCAUCCUGCAUGCAGCUUCUCCUUUUGGCAUUUAGAUAUUCUCGUGCAGGUUCCACCACAGUCCACCCUUUCACCUGGCCCCUGCAAAGGGGGCAAGCAAGCUCUGUGACUUCACACUUGUCAACAGGCCAACUGGAAUCUGAAAGCAGAAUUGGGUUAUCAGCAGUGCCACUGGAAGAGAUGACUUUAGUGUAAGCCUUUCUGUACUGGUCAAGGCAAUUAGAAUAACGAAAGCUAGUUGCACACAUAUAGGGACGACAACCCUUGUCAUGAGAGGAACAAAGUAGAAGAACAGCAUUGUGUGGGCACUCCAUGCACACAGAACAAGUUACGUCUUCCCAGUCUUUCUUAUCCAACGAUUUGGAGGAUUUCUUAUUGUAAAAGUCCUCAUCAUGAUUGCAAGAUGCCAAUUUGUAUGGCGCUGGCCUGCAUUGCCGGGAAGCAAUCCUGCAUCGUCCUCUGCUACCUUUUGCCAUUUCCAGCAAACCUGUAUUCUAAAUAGCGCAAUUGGAGCAAAUCCAGAUCGCAAAGACAGAAUGAGUUGAACGUACAAAUUGUAUCUCUUUUUACAUGAAAUCGAAUCGAAAGGUAAGGCGAUGAGAUCGAGACAGAGCAAACGCGAGAAAGUUAUAGGCGGGAGUGAGAAUUUCUCUCUCUUUGUUUUUUUUUUAAGCCUCUUAGCGCUUUUAUCGGAUUCGUCGAGUCAUUUCUACGCGAUGUAUCGUGCUCUCCUUUUUCCUAUUUCACUCUCUCUCCCUCUCUCUAGCUGCUCAAACUGGAAGCUAUUUCCAGACGAGCGACAAAUGAAGACUGAGCUACGCGCUCGCCAACUUUG
rnacentral:misc_RNA from 1 species